CAAUUGCCCUUCCCUGCACUACCAAGGCACCAAGGAGGGAGGGUCCUCUAAAUGAGCCCUGGAUUUUCCGUAGGCCAGGCCAGGGACCAUAAGUGCCCCCUUCCCCCGUAGCUUCCUCUUUCUCCCGCCCUUCUUCUCAAAUUCAGAACCACUAACAGGAGUUUAAGCAGGAGCUGGGAAGUUUAUCCAAUUUUAAGGAAGGCCCUGGGAUGAGCCAGCCCUUCCCCUAGACUGACCUGAUUUAAGCUUUUCUUCUGCCAAGGUCACCAGCACCACUGGUGGGUGAGGGAUGUAGUCAUUUAUUUCAUGUCCCAGCCAGGGGCCCAUAAGGUAAGACAAAGAAGGAUUUUCCUCAGGUGCACUAAGAAGUGGUCCGUUCCCUGCCCGCCAUCCUCCUCUCCAACCUGGGACAGACUAGUCUUGCCCUUGGGUUCUUGUCCUUGAGCUUAGCUAGGACCGCUCUCUCUCUUCUUUCUUUUUAAAGAAUUUAGUCCCCGAUCCCCUCAACGGCUGUCUCUUUCCAUUUAACAACAAACCUUUACUUAGCACCAGCUGUGUGCCCAGCACUGUGCUCAUUCCUGGAGAUUCUGUGGCAGAUGAAAAGGUCCCUGUCCUUGGGCCGCUCCUAGCCUACCACGGGGCAGACUCUGAACACAUGCGGGAGAGUGGCUGCUGCCAGUCAGCCUGUGCAGCCAUGGCUUCCUGCUUCCUCUUGCCCAGAACUACUCCUUUGAACAGCAUGGCUUGAUAAGCAGUGCCAUGUCUGCACCAGGGAUUCGAACCGGGGACACCGGGCCACCAAAGCAGAAUGUGCGAACUUAACCACUGUGCCACCAGGCCAGCCCGUGCCUCUUUUAAAAUAUUUUAAAAAGUAACACAUGUGCACAGUUUAAAAGAAAAACAGUUUUAAUGUAUCUUUACAGAGAUAUUUUGGGCAUAUGUAAACAAUGUGUGCGUAUGUGUGGUUUUGUGUGUGUUUGACACAAAUGAUAGCUCCACGCUGUUUGGCUCCUUGCUAUUUUCCCUCAGUAACACAUCUGCCUCUACAAAGCCUACAUAGUCUUCCAUCAUAUGGGUGCAUCUCAA
rnacentral:lncRNA from 1 species